rnacentral:rRNA from 1 species
AUUGAACGCUGGCGGCAUGCCUUACACAUGCAAGUCGAACGGCAGCACGGGAGCAACCUGGCGACGAGUGGCGAACGGGUGAGUAAUGCAUCGGAACGUGCCCGGUAGUGGGGGAUAGCCCGGCGAAAGCCGGAUUAAUACCGCAUACGACCUACGGGUGAAAGGGGGGGAUCGCAAGACCUCUCGCUAUUGGAGCGGCCGAUGUCAGAUUAGGUAGGUGGUGGGGUAAAGGCCUACCAAGCCGACGAUCUGUAGCUGGUCUGAGAGGACGACCAGCCACACUGGGACUGAGACACGGCCCAGACUCCACGGGAGGCAGCAGUGGGGAAUUUUGGGCAAUGGGCGCAAGCCUGAUCCAGCAAUGCCGCGUGCAGGAAGAAGGCCUUCGGGUUGUAAACUGCUUUUGUACGGAACGAAACGGUCCUGGUUAAUACCUGGGGCUAAUGACGGUACCGUAAGAAUAAGCACCGGCUAACUACGUGCCAGCAGCCGCCGUAAGAC